rnacentral:tRNA from 1 species
GCCCAGCUGGCUCAGUCAGAAGAGUACACAACUCUUGAUUUUGGGGUUGUGAGUUCAAGCCCCACGUUGGGUG